rnacentral:rRNA from 1 species
GGCUUUCAGGAGCAUGUGCACGCUCAUUCCAUUUUUAACCACCUGUGCACCCACUGUAGGCUUGAAUAUGAACUUUUCGAGGAAACUCGGUUUGAGAACUGCUAGAAGCUGUUCUUUACAUUUCAGGUCUAUGUUUUUAAACACAUACUCUAUAACAAGUUAAGGAAUGUUAAUUAUUGGCCUUUAUGUGCCUUUAAACCCUAAUACAACUUUCAACAACGGAUCUCUUGGCUCUCGCAUCGAUGAAGAACGCAGCGAAAUGCGAUAAGUAAUGUGAAUUGCAGAAUUCAGUGAAUCAUCGAAUCUUUGAACGCACCUUGCGCUCCUUGGUAUUCCGAGGAGCAUGCCUGUUUGAGUGUCAUGAAAUUCUCAACCUCUCUGGCUUUCAUUAGCUGGUCAGGCUUGGAUUGUGGGAGUUUGCUGGCCUAUUGGAGAUCAGCUCUUCUUAAAUACAUUAGCAAAAUCCUUGCUGAAUAUCUUUGGUAUGAUAAUUAUCUAUACCAUUGAAACACAGCUUUUUCCACUUUGUUCGGAUUAGGCUCCUCUUGGAUCCAUCCAAGUGUUCGAUUCAACCGCUUUGAAGCACCAGCUUAGGCACAGAUGUUAGCUCGUCUGAUGGUGUUAUAUAUUUCAGGUUGACGAAGCGAGGCGUUCUUUGGAGCGCUCACGAGAGCAAGCACUCUAUCG